rnacentral:rRNA from 1 species
AGAGUUUGAUCAUGGCUCAGGAUGAACGCUGGCGGCGUGCCUAACACAUGCAAGUCGAACGGAGUUACUUUGGUGAAGUUUUCGGAUGGAUCUGAUUUAACUUAGUGGCGGACGGGUGAGUAAUGCGUGAGCAACCUGCCCUUCAGAGGGGGACAACAGUUGGAAACGAACUGCUAAUACCGCAUAAUGUAUUCGGGAGGCAUCUUCUGGAUACCAAAGGAGAAAUCCGCUGAUGGAUGGGCUCACGUCUGAUUAGCUAGUUGGUGAGGUAACGGCUCACCAAGGCUGCGAUCAGUAGCCGGACUGAGAGGUUGAACGGCACAUUGGGACUGAGAUACGGCCCAGACUCCUACGGGGAGCA